rnacentral:lncRNA from 1 species
AACCAGCGAGCAAAUCGCGCGUCACUUUCCCCUCAACCUUAUCCUCUCGUACAAGAGCCGUUAGAGAUUCGUGAGGUGUCAAAAUUUGGUAGCUUCAUCAUCCUUGCUCCAAGAUCAAGUGGUUCUCCUUCUCUAUCCGUUGAGGAUUGGUACUCAUUAGCUAGUAGCCUCAUCCUCUAAAAAUUUUUGAAUUUUGAAUUCAAAUCCAUUCCGUUCUCCUUUUUUAAAAAAAAAUCUGAGAAAUCUCCUAUAAAUAUCCCCUACAUGGGGCAGAGUUUUAUUUUGGGGGGAAGUUGGAGAAAAUUUGGUGAGAUUUCUUGAUAACAGAAGAAUAUAUACGAGAGUUCUGUUAGAAAAAGAAAGAAGAAUUUUUCAUCCUUUCAUAGUAAAUUUGUGUGAGAAAUAUUGACAGCAUCAUAUAUAUACAUAUAGAACAUAUACGGUGGUGUUCGAGUUUAACACCAAGUUUAGGUGUUCGCUGCCUCCCCUGUCCCAGUUUCGCCGCUCCGGAGACAGGUAACUCCUCCUCCUUCUAGCAUGUCUCUGUUUUCUUAUCUUGAGGUUGUUUGUUCUCUUUAAUCUCUUCUUUGUAUUCAACUCGUUAGUUUUGAUAUGGGUUAGUUUUCUUUUUUUCUUCGAAUUCAUUUUCAGCUGUGCUUCGAGUUUUUUUUUUGUGUUAAUUUGCUCUUAUUAACUUUUAAAUUACAUUCCGCAUUUAAAAUAAAAGGCUUGUUUCCUAAGGCCAAAGUAUGCACUAUUCUCUUAUGAUUGCAGGCACCUUUUAUUCUGCUGGUUUGCCUUGGAAAUAUAUAGUAGGAUCUACAAAGGUGUUUGAAUGUGCAUAGCAAGGGUUAAUGGUUGAGGUGGGAUCAUCGUAGUUCGGUUUUGAUUGUAUAUAGGUUAAAGUCAUGAGAAUCUAAGUUGCCUUGGUCCUGAUAAGAUGAUUUUGGUGCUAGUUUCUAGUUCAUUUAUCUUGUUUAAGUUUUGCUCUUGUAAAUGGGGUUAAUAUUAUUUGUGAAUCCUCAAUAAGGAAUCGCAAAUACUUCAGAAGGAGAUAUCGUCUUGCUUAAGUCUGCUCACUGUUUUCCUUAACAAAUGCUUCCAUUUGAAUUUCUCCUUUUUGCUUUUAAAAGGAUUUAUCUAUCAUGCUUUGGUUUUCUUUUUAGAAUGUAUGGCAUUGUUUAGAGUUGGCUUGCCAUGACUGCUGCCAUGCUUAUGCUUCUUAGACAUGAUAUGCACUAUAUGCAUACCCAUGAUAUGUGUAAUGCGUGUUGUUGUUUUUUUUUUGAAGUUUUUGUAAGCUUGUUUCAUAGUUUACUUGAGUUUUUCUUGUAUGUCAUUUUGUUCUAGCUUAACUCAAAUCUUUAAAGGGGUGUAUGUUUCUUUCUUAUUCUCUAUUUUGCUCAAGAUUCGUUUGAUUAUUUUAUCACUUCAUAUGCUAAUCCAUUUUCAUUUUAUUGCAUGUGAAAUUAUUUGCGGGUCCCCAUAGAGUUCACUCCAAUCCCUUGCAUUUUUCCUUGAGUCGUAAAGGCUCAAAAAAUCCUCCUUGAGUCGUAGAUUCCUCAUAACUGGCGUAAAGGUUGCGAAACCAGCAGAGGCAUAACUGAGAUAAUUUUGCAGAAAUUUGACUGCAAUUCUUUUGAAGCUGUAUACUUGUUGUAUACACAUGUUAUAUACUGAUAUACAUGAUGAAAUGCGUACAGGAGGCAAAAACCAAAACUUGGGUUGAUAGCAGUUCAGAUACACUGCUGAAAGGGAACUUUCAAUUUCCGAAAGUUGAAAAACAGGCUGAUAUAUAACCCGUAUACAAAUGUAUACAUCAUUUGUAUACCUUGACUCUUUUACAGGAAAUGGGCCUGGGCCAUUUUCAGCAAAAAAUUUUAAUAGGCCCAAAGGACAAUUUCUUUUGCAGAAUUUGAAUUGUUGAAAAGGGUCCAAACUUAAAUGGUUUAAUAUAUGACAGG